GAUGAAAACGCAGCGAAAUGCGAUAAGUAGUGUGAAUUGCAGAAUUCAGUGAAUCAUCGAAUCUUUGAACGCACAUUGCGCCCCUCGGUAUUCCGUGGGGCAUGCCUGUUCGAGCGUCAUUUACCCCUCAAGCACUGCUUGGUGUUGGGCGUCUGUCCCGCUUCGCGCGCGGACUCGCCCCAAAGGUAUUGGCAGCGGUCGUGCCAGCUUCUCGCGCAGCACAUUGCGCUUCUCGAGGCGGUCGAUCGGCGUCCACGAAGCUCACCUCCACCGUUUGACCUCGGAUCAGGUAGGGAUACCCGCUGAACUUAAGCAUAUCAAUAAGCGGAGGA
rnacentral:misc_RNA from 1 species